UCUAAUUCAUGAAAAGCUUCUAGAAGGGAGGGGAAGGUUUUUUCACAGUUAUUCUAGAUUCACUUUGACCUGCCCACGAUCUUGUAAACUACGGUUUUCAUCUAUAACCAGUUCGUCUCGAUAAUCAUUCAUAACAGUAAUCACAAUCGGUUGUCCAUCUAAAUCGUCACUUUCAACAUCGAAUCACCAUCUGUUCAACGAAAAAAUGGUGUUGAAACAUAGCGCGUAUCUUUAUCAGGAGUGGCAAAUGCUUCCCAUGACGCUAAAGAAAUUGAAAAACCCUAUGUUUACAGAGAACGACAACAAAAGUCUCAGAUGUGGCCUGACCUUAUAAAAAAAAGCUAAGGAUGGAGGUUUAGAUGUCAUACAAACUUAUGUAUUUUGGAAUGGGCAUGAACCAUCUCCUGGGAAGUACAAUUUUGAGGGGAUAUAUGAUUUGGUGAAGUUCAUAAAACUGGUACAACAAGCAGGACCAGGGGCGGACUUAUAUGGGCUCUAAGGGUAGCCCGUGCUACCCCUCAACUUCGACUCGUAAGGGUGGAAAGCUAGGUUUCUAUUACAAAGAUCAUGAAAUUCUUCCGCCCCUCCCCAGAUUAACGAUCAAUACACCAGGGGAUUUGGCAAUCAUUCUUGGCACCAGUGAUACUGUAAGUUUAAGUGGAUCGGGUAAUGGGUAAAAAGAAGUAAUUUGACCAAAGUUAUAUUGUAAAAAAAAAAAAAAAAACUGACCUGACCCGACCGGAACCGAAACCGUGCUGACCCGGAUCCGUUCCGACCCGGACCCGUUUCGAUCCAAACGAAAUCAACCCUUUUUUAUGAUUGACCCGAACCUGUCUUGACCCGACCGAACCAAUAGGUUAGGAUACUUCUAGAAAGAGCUUAUGCUACAUCAAAGCUUUGGGAUGAUGCAACUCUUGUUCUAUGUGGAUAUUUUAAUUCAACCCAAAGAGUUCACUGUACAACUUCAUAUCCGAGCAAAAGUUAAACAUGUCUGAACUGCCUAGAGAUAAGAUAUCAGGACAAUAUUCUGCUGAAAUUUAUCCCAAAAGACUGGUUUUCUCUAAUUUCAGAAGCAAGUCCAUUGAUAAUGCUACCCAAUCUCCCACAUCAGUUGAUAAUGCUACCCAAUCUCCCACAGCAGUCCUAGAGGUGAAACCCUUGAUGUGAAAAACUCAAUCAUAGGGACCAAUUAGAAUGGUGAUGAGAGACAAGUCAAGGAGCCACCAACUUCACAAGCCAAGCACAACAUGAUUGUCGCCAGCUGCAACCAUUCUCCAAAUUGGAAAAGUUGGGAGUUUAUCACAUCAGGUGGAGAGAAAUUGACACCUAGAAGUGUGCAAUUCAUGUUGAUUAUGAAACAUAUUGUUGAAUGGACCUGUGUCAAUUGUAAGCAGUUGAUUUUGUUUAUAUUCAGAGUUUUUUUUUU